CCCCUCCGCGCUCCCACUCUGCUCCGUACCCAACAGGCUUCUCCUCCCGUCCAGUCCCUCCGUGCCCGGCCCUCAUCCAAACGUUCCCCUCCCCCCGACCUUCGCACCCGCCCUGGCAACUGCAGCAUUGAGGAAAGCCGGGCCCCCUGCACUUGACUCCUUUUCCCAGUUUUGCAGGUGUCAUGGAACUUUUCCUGAUGGUUCUGCCCCACCCAGAAGCUGGGUGAAUGGUUACAAAGUUCUCUGCGGAACAAACAUGGUUCAGGGCGCAAAAAAUGUGGCAAUGAACGCCAAAGAAGAGCAUCAAUGCGGGGUGUUUAGAGUAACUAGCCUCCAGAGCAGCAUUGUGGGCCUGAAGACGUCCGUGGCUUCUGCAAUCUAGAACACGUGGAAGACUGAGAUUCCGGCGGGGGCGGGGGGGGGCACCUAAAGCAUCGGCCAAAAGGUGGAUGGCAGCAGUGUGUUACUGCAAUUACAUUAUAGGUUUGCCUCCAAACCAAAAUUACCCUGAUAAAACCAGGCCAACAGAUGUUCAUGAUACCUUGGUACACUACUGUUGAAUUGCUUAUCUUUUAUAAGUUGGGGUUACCACAUGGUAAGCUUUUUCUAUCUUUUAAAAUAAUAAUAGCAGUUACUGGUUAA